UGUUGGUGAGGUAAUGGCUCACCAAGGCGUCGACGGGUAGCCGGCCUGAGAGGGUGACCGGCCACACUGGGACUGAGACACGGCCCAGACUCCUACGGGAGGCAGCAGUGGGGAAUAUUGCACAAUGGGCGAAAGCCUGAUGCAGCAACGCCGCGUGAGGGACGACGGCCUUCGGGUUGUAAACCUCUUUUAGCAAGGAAGAAGCGAAAGUGACGGUACUUGCAGAAAAAGCGCCGGCUAACUACGUGCCAGCAGCCGCGGUAAUACGUAGGGCGCAAGCGUUAUCCGGAAUUAUUGGGCGUAAAGAGCUCGUAGGCGGUUUGUCGCGUCUGCUGUGAAAACCCGAGGCUCAACCUCGGGCCUGCAGUGGGUACGGGCAGACUAGAGUGCGGUAGGGGAGAUUGGAACUCCUGGUGUAGCGGUGGAAUGCGCAGAUAUCAGGAAGAACACCGAUGGCGAAGGCAGAUCUCUGGGCCGUAACUGACGCUGAGGAGCGAAAGGGUGGGGAGCAAACAGGCUUAGAUACCCUGGUAGUCCACCCCGUAAACGUUGGGAACUAGUUGUGGGGUCCAUUCCACGGAUUCCGUGACGCAGCUAACGCAUUAAGUUCCCCGCCUGGGGAGUACGGAA
rnacentral:rRNA from 1 species